AGGCGUUCCGAGCGGCGGCAGAGGUGAGCGCACGGACGAGCGGGAGGGACCCUUCUCCGGCCUGAUGCGACCCGGAAAGGGAACGUCACAGAAAGGUGAAGAAAUUUGCCCUAAAUCAUAAAACUUUGUAAGUGGCAGAACAAGGAUUUGAAGCUGGCAGUCUGGUUCCAGGUAUCAUUCUUAAAACACUAAAUUUAUACUGUCCUAUUUAGCCUGAAAGUUUCAUGGUGCAGACUUAUACUGUGGACUCCAUAGCCCUUUUCCUCAUGCUGGGUUAGAAGUAACUUUUUCAGGCUCACUAUUUUUAUUAGGAAAAAAUAGUCACUGAGCAGAACUUCCGAGGAGACCCCUCCAGCUAACUGAAGAGAAAGGGACAACCAGCCUACCAUGUUUAGUGCAGCAGGGGGAACAGGACGGAAGGGCAGGGUGUCAUGGAGCUCUAGGAGGCACCAGCUGAGGAAAGGGGAUCUCAGGAGGUAGGGAGAGAGCAGACUGGGCAGCCAGCCAUGGGUUCAAAUCCUGGCCUACCACUUUAACAGGGCGAUCUGGAACAAGUGACUUCUGGUCCUGAGUUUCCUGUCUGUAAAAUGGGUGCAUUCCUAUCUAUCUUUCAGGAUUGUUUUGAUGAUGAAAGUGAAAGAAAGUUUGCGAAAUGUGGAGCCUGGUGAGGGUAUAUAGUAGGCUUUAAAAAAAGAUUGAUUUUCUAAAUGUUAGUGCUCCUAAAUGGCAUAAGGUGUUCAGGUCUUGGAGUUGCUGCCCAAAUACCAGCAAUUUCCAGAGAACUCGCUGCUGCCUAAUACAGCUUUAUUUUAAAGCUUUUCAAAGCCCCAGUUCAGUUAGGGCAAUUUUUCAAGUGGCUAUCAGUUGGCAUCUUCUGGAA
rnacentral:sRNA from 1 species